rnacentral:rRNA from 1 species
UACAGAGGGUGCGAGCGUUAAUCGGAAUUAUUGGGCGUAAAGAGCUCGUAGGCGGUGUGUCGCGUCGGCCGUGAAAACCUGCAGCUUAACUGUGGGCGUGCGGUCGAUACGGGCAUCACUGGAGUUCGGCAGGGGAGACUGGAAUUCCUGGUGUAGCGGUGAAAUGCGCAGAUAUCAGGAGGAACACCGGUGGCGAAGGCGGGUCUCUGGGCCGAUACUGACGCUGAGGAGCGAAAGCGUGGGGAGCGAACAGG